CCGGCUCCAGGUGCUGCUUUUCUGCAGCUGCCUCUUGCCAUUGAUGAUCGUUCUUCUCUCCCUUAUGGGAGGGUGAGAGGGAGGGAACGCAGUCUGAGUGGA
rnacentral:snoRNA from 1 species